rnacentral:lncRNA from 1 species
UUAAUAUUUUGGGGAGCAUCUAUGAUCUUCCAGGACUUUAUAUGCGUUGUUUCACUUUAUCCUCACAAUAGAUGUUACAAUUUGUUGCUUUUAGUGUCCCUGUUUUAAAGAUGAGAAGACUGAGGUUUAGAGAUUUUAGAUAACUUGCCCAAAGUCACACCUCUAAUAAGGGUGGAAAGCACUAUUCAAAUCAAGAUCCUCUUAACUCCAGAGUCCAUGUUCUUUCUCCUCCUUUCCUCUGCUCUGUGGUUUUACCUUCAGUGUAGCAUUUCUGCGUUGUAUUGCCAUUAGCUAUUGUAAUUAAUGUCUGUUUUCCUGCAGAGGAGAAUGAGCUUCUUUAGGUCAAACACUGUAUUUAUUUAUCCCUAUCUCUACACCCACUCCUCUGUCCCCAGGGUUAAUUACAGUGCGAUAGGUGUUUACUGAGUUAGAUUGAAUUGCUACUCUACUGGUUUCAUGCGGGGACUGGAGGAAUAGGUCAGGUUGAUCAAUCAUGCUGCUGAUUGAUUUAAAAAAAUCAUUCAUAUGGAUUAAACAUGUAUCAUCUUUGUUGAUAAAGUGAAGACAUGGUCCAAGUCAGAGACACUAGCAAACUCUAGCUAAAGGAAGGGAGGAUUUCUGUUUAGGUCAGUGAGUCCCUACCGCCAGGAAUUAUUAGUCAUAGAACGAACAUUUGUAGAGUGCUUACUGUGCGUCAGAACACGGCUAAGUACUACGUGUGGUUAUCUUUUGGAAUUCUCCUAACCCUAUAAGGCAGAUACUGUUAUUUUCCUAUUUUUGUUUUUGUUUUCAGCUGAGUCAAUGGAAGCAUUAGGAAGUUUAAGUAGCUUAUUCAAGGUAGGUCAGCUAGAAAGCGUUGGAGCCCCAUUUACAUCCAAGCUGAGUGGCCUCAGAGCCUGGGCUUUUCACACUAAUAGAGGGAAGGCAUUCCGUGAGGAGAAGUGAGCUGCGUUGGGUAAAAUCAGUGCUGGGGCAGAGCUGGGACCCAGGCGAGGACAUCCACUCCUCUCCUUGGCCUUCAUCCCAUACGCUUGUGGGUUUUGUCCCAAUUUGGUGGAAUCUCCCACUACAGGUAGGAUUCUGAUGUCUCUCCCUCUCUUCUCUGAUGUUCUUACCUACGGUGGGGAAGAAAUCAGUUACAAGGCUUAGCCAUUACCUUCUUCACUAGAUUCAUUUGCAUUUGGACCUUAAAUCAAAGGGAUGAAAUACAAAAGGUGAAACUGCGUACAUCAGCGAUGCUUCCAGGACGUUCCUUUUCUUCUCUUUUGUUUUGUGUAUGUGUGUGUGUAUGCUUGGUCCUGGAAAACCAUCUCAUCUGCCUUGCCUGUUGUGAAGUUGCUGAGGGCUCUGGGCCUCAAGGACCCCCGUAGAUUUUUACACAAUAAAAAGGUAUAUUCAAGAAGCCUGGCUGGCGUUCAUUCUUUUUGUCAGUUUAUUCUCUCCCACCGCUUUCUCCAGCCUGACUCCCCACUUUCUUCCCCCAGCUCCCAUGUCGAACUGGAUAGUGAUGGAAUUUAAAAGAGCACUGCAGACCAGGAGGGCUGUGUGCUCCCCUCAGUCCUGCCGGUAACUUGCUUUGUGACUCUGGGCAAGUCAUUUCCUUCAAUCUGUAAGAUGGAAGGUUGGCUAUGUGGUUGAAGUUAGAUAGUGUCUAAUUUCUAUGUAGAUUUCUAGAAUACCAUUAGUUUGUAGAAGUUUCAUCUCCAAGAACAAACCCUGUAGGGUAUAGUUUCCAUGGGUCAGGAGUUCAAGCACAACUUAGCCGGGUCCUUACAAAGCUGCCCUCAAGGUGUCCGCCAGGCUGCAUUCUUACCUGGAGGAUCCGUUAGGGAAGAGCCUGCCUUCAAACUCAUUCAGGAUGUUGGCAGAACUGCUUCUUCAACUCAAGGCCAGCAGGAGAGUGUCUUUGACUUCAGGGAAAGCUUCAGCCCUCUUUUAAAGGACUUCCACCUGAUUAAGUCAGGCCCACCCAGGAUGAUCUUCUUUUUGAUUACUUUAAAGUCAGUCGGGGGCUGGCCUGGUGUAGUGGUUAAGUUUGUGCACUCUGCUUCGGUGCCCCAGGGUUUGCAGGUUUGGAUCCCAGGCG